rnacentral:rRNA from 1 species
UACGGAGGGUGCAAGCGUUAUCCGGAUUCACUGGGUUUAAAGGGUGCGUAGGUGGGUUGGCAAGUCAGUGGUGAAAUCCCCGAGCUUAACUUGGGAACUGCCAUUGAUACUAUCAGUCUUGAAUACCGUGGAGGUCAGCGGAAUAUGUCAUGUAGCGGUGAAAUGCUUAGAUAUGACAUAGAACACCAAUUGCGAAGGCAGCUGGCUACACGAAUAUUGACACUCAGGCACGAAAGCGUGGGGAUCAAACAGG